CAAAAUUAUUAUUCAACAGCUCCAGGACUGUCUAUCUCCUCAUGUACAGAGACUGAAGGAGAGGAGGAUAACACAGAAGAAAACUCGAACAACAAGUCUGAAGGGAUGAAGGAAACUAAUUCAAAAACCUCCUGUGAACAACGUCUGGCCGACAAGACUAAGACAGAGAGGAAGGAACAAAAGGGUAACAAGAACAAGUUCAUUUCUUUCAUAAAAAAAAAAUGGAAUUCUCUGGAACAUCCCUCCGAACGUGCAGCAGGUCAGAAGCCUGUUGAGACCACUUCAGAGGAUCUGACAGACAAGUUGAAAGAAGAACAGGGUGAAGAUACUGGUCCUGAAGAACAGAAAGGAAACGAAGAACCCAAAAAACUACAGGGACUUCAUUAUGGCCGGUAUGAUCAGGGAGAUACAAAUGAUCUCAACUUACUCUUACGGAAAGAUUCCCAUGAUACAAGCUACAGUGAGGUAAGCAGCCAAAACUAAAAGUCCUAGCUUAGUAUUUUAAUGCAAUGUGAGCCUGCUGAUCUAAUUUGGCAUGUAUACAACAUUUGUCCACAGGAACGCAGCUUUGAACGGACUAUCAACACAAAAUCAUUUACUGGAGACAACAAGGUGUACCUUGACGAGAAGAUGAAAAUAACAAGUGUGAGUUUUGACCUGAAAAUCUCAACACAAACUGUCGACAGAUCAAAUUUGAUACUGGAUUCAAAUAAAAAGUUAUUUGUUAUUUUACAAUUCAAGACUCAAGGUUAUAAUAUUAAUUAAAGUAGAAAUAUGACAGUGUAGAAAUACUCGGUUACAAGUAAAAGCCAUGCAUUCAAAAUUGUACUUAAAGUGACUACAAGGAACAUUAUUCUAGUAGUAACAUCUUCAGAACCUGUUGUCUUUUACAGAGCUCUGCUAAGAAAAUGAUCACUGAAUACAAGGUGGAACUCAUCUACUGUCUGAUGGCGGAUCAUUCCAUUAUUCUGCAGCAUGCACAUGCCAAACAGAUCAUCACAGACAGACAAUAUCAGAAUAUAAGGGAAAAGUCUACCUCAACACCACAAGAAACUGUCACUGACCUGAUUGAUCACGUGAUUUUGAAGACUGGACCAAAAAGCUGGACUGGUUUCCUUGAUGUUCUCAAACUACCUGAUGUUCUGAGCACUUAUCCACAGCUCAAAGAAAUCAUAAAUAAAAUGCUGCGCAGCAAUAGUGGAAGCAGUGCAUAAGAUGUGAUUUUUGAUGCCAGACAGACAAAAGUGAUAUGAUUUAAAUAAGUCUGUUUAUGUUUUUUUUACAUGCCAGUUUUUCUUCUCAAAAUGUUAAGCAAUAUUUUACAAAUCCACCCUUUACCUUCUAAAAUGCACAUAGAAGGAUCACAGCAACAGUGUUUUCAUUUGAGAGAUUAUAACUAACAGUUGUUUUGUUUUAUGAAAAUAUGUCAGCAUAAAAUACUAAUCCUAGUUUUGAUGAAAUUAAAGACUGAAGGCCUCAACUUUUAUCUGUCAUUGGAUGCCAUGUUGAUACAUUUUGACUGGAUUUUCCUACAUGUACAUACUCAGCACAUUAAGGAUGCUGCUGAACAUAAUCUACAAAAUUGGUGAUUUCUUUGUUUUUGGGGGGUUGCCAUGGUAAUGAAAUGGUCAUUUUAAUUAUAGUUGGAACGACGACAGAACCACUUUGGAGUAUGUUGCCAGGUGUUAACAUAUCUGCCUGUGUAUAUAUAAUAAAUAAAUACAUUUUAAUUUUUUAAAGUUGCAUACAGAAUUUUAAAAAAUAUUUCAUUGUACAUAUGUUACUUUACAUACAUACAUACACACACAACAGAUUAGUUAUCGACUAUUAAAAUUAGGAAUUAGUUCAGCCAGUUUAUCUGUGGUAGUGUUUUCAACUUUGUUUUCUCAUCAUGUUUUUAUGUGUUGUCUUGACGAGCAGAUUAAUAAAUAAAAGUCCGAUUUCAGUACAUUUGAAUGAUAUAAUGGUUGAUGAAUGACUUUAAAUUACAUUUGAUUAUUAAUCUAGACUGGUGCUGAAACAACAGCUAAGUAUCUCGGGAAAACAUUUAGUUGUUGGUUUUUAUCUGUCCAUGAAUAAAGCUCAAACAGAGGGGCAAAAUACACAACACAGUGGAAAGAGUGUUCUGGGGACCUUAUUUCCCUCUGAGAACAGCUUGGACAAAGAAAUAUUUAUAGAGUCCUUUUGUGUUUUUAAAGGUAGCCUAUUCUCAGCAAGACACAGGGACAUUUUAGAACCAUCCUGUGGCGAUAAGUCCAUGUUUUUCAAAGUAUUGCAGUGUUUCAGGUGAUUGUGAGGCUGUUAUAAGCUAUUAUUAUUAUUAUUAUUAUUAUUAUUAUUAUUAUUAUUAUUAUUAUUAUUAUUAUUAUUAUUAUUAUUAUUAUUAUUAUUAUUAUUAUUAUUAUCAUCAUUAUUAUAAAAUCAACAAUGAGAACUAAAAGGGUGGGUUUGACUCGGAUGGACUGUUGACCAUCAUUUUACAUCUGAUCACUUUAUAAAAUGUGAUGUAUCACUGUAAAUAAGUAGUAGAAGACGAACUCUGAUCAUUAAUUUAUGUACCUAUGUUAUUUUUUUUUACAAGUGGGUAAGUCCUGCAUUCAAUUUAACUCCAGUAAAAGUAUAAAGGUAUUAACAGCAAAAGUAUCAAAUAGCAUUUAAAUGUUGUGAGGUGAAGUUUAUCUUAUCUGCUUUAUAUGUUUUUUAGGUGGUUUAGAUCAUAACAAUACAUCAUAUUUUAUAAACUGGUCAACUGUUUUGAAAGUAAAAUCAUAAUGUGAAUAAUGAUUCACCACAAAUUAUGAAUGAAGGAAAGAUUCUCGCGACGGUUUUAGAUGUACAAUAAUAGUUUAAAUACUUCAGACAGACGUGAGAAUGUACAGCAACAACUUCGAGAGUGAGAAUUCAGAAAAUGUUGUACACUGAGUAAACGUAUCAUGGAC
ensembl:lncRNA